rnacentral:rRNA from 1 species
GACAGAGGGGGCAAGCGUUGUUCGGAAUUACUGGGCGUAAAGGGCGCGUAGGCGGCCUUCUAAGUCGAACGUGAAAUCCCUGGGCUCAACCCAGGAACUGCGUCCGAUACUGGGAGGCUUGAAUCCGGGAGAGGGAUGCGGAAUUCCAGGUGUAGCGGUGAAAUGCGUAGAUAUCUGGAGGAACACCGGUGGCGAAGGCGGCAUCCUGGACCGACACUGACACUGAGGAGCGAAAGCCAGGGGAGCAAACGGG